rnacentral:misc_RNA from 1 species
GGGAGAGAUCAUAAAUGAAGUAUUUCAUGAUCUAAGAAAAUUCAAACAAUUAGCACAAUUGAUAGGUAUACUGCCUUUUGAUCUAGCUCUAGUCAUGAUGUGUGCGUUACAAUGGUUUCCACUCUAUCCAGAGACGCUUGCAAUCGUCCUGUACUCAAGUUGAACAAUGGCUCUCCGGUACCCAAAGCCCCUGUAACUUCUGGAAGAACAUAAUCUGCCCUCCAAGCAAACCGUAAAUCCAUGCCAGGGAACAACCCUAGUGAUGUCUUAUUCCGAAUGCGAGAUAUGCCAUCACCACCUAAGCAUGUAGUAAGCUUCCAUUUCCAACCAGUAGCAUGCAACUGAAAAUUAUGGCCAAUACCAACCUGGAGAUUUAGGAAUUUGGUUAUGGGAAUCUUCUUGGAAAGAAUACGCACAUCCUGACGUAUAGGCUCAUAUAUGAACUUCCACCGCCGGUCAGGGGAUAAAGGUUUCAGAACAAGCUUGGCUUGGAGAUCAUUGAUGGGAGCAUUAUAGAACUCAAAAUUUACACCAAGUCGAAGCCCCUCAAUUUCCUUUCUAAACUUGAAAAACAGCUCAGAUGGCAUCAAAUUGAUAUUGUAAAGCUCUUCCCACGAAGUGGGUUCCUCCCCAUUAGAAGCAGACUCCAUGUUCCUAGCAAUCUUUUAGCAGCUAAAGUAUUGAGUGUGAUUGGGGUAUUUCUCGAGUAUAUACAUACCCCUAUGCAGAAGCGGUAUUGCUACAGCAGCAAAGGG